UCAAACUUGGUCAUUUAGAGGAAGUAAAAGUCGUAACAAGGUUUCCGUAGGUGAACCUGCGGAAGGAUCAUUAAAAAUGAAGCUGGCUUAAUCAACCAGCAAUCAUAUCCUACCAUUUGUGCAUUUAUUGACCUUUUUGCUUUGGCAGGAUUCCUCUUGGAUCCUGCCAAGGGUAUCCAAUCACAUCCUGAUUUGUUUGACUGAUUAUAAAAAUAAUAAAUCAAUACAACUUUCAACAACGGAUCUCUUGGCUCUCGCAUCGAUGAAGAACGCAGC
rnacentral:misc_RNA from 1 species